AAACCGUAGAUGUCAAUUGCUAUAAAUCUCGCAAGCAGGAAACUCCACCAUUAUGCAAUGAUGCACAUGAUACUUCACCAUAUUAUCAACCCCUUGUGGCAUGUAUAGCUGGGACCACCAGCAAACGCUGGAUUCCCAUUCAGAACAAGUCUUUGGGUUACCAUUUGAGCUCAGCUGAACUUCAAGUUCAUGCAGUUCAGCCUGAAGAUUUCUUUGAAGACUUACAGGUUUGGGGAUCAGCUCUAAGAAACUAUUGGUCUUUGCUUACACCCUUAAUUUUCUCCGACCACCCUAAGAGGCCAGGUGAUGAAGAUCCAUUACCUCCAUAUAACAUGAUACGUAAUGUGAUGGACAUGAAUGCUCACUAUGGGGGUUUAAAUGCUGCAUUUCUGGAGGGAAAAAAAUCAGUGUGGGUGAUGAAUGUUGUACCUGUUUGGGCUCGUAACACACUUCCUCUCAUACUUGACCGAGGUUUUGCUGGUGUUUUGCAUGAUUGGUGUGAACCCUUCCCUACAUACCCCCGUACAUAUGACAUGCUUCAUGCAAAUGGGCUUCUCUCACAUCUCAGUUCAGAGAGGUGCAGCAUGAUGGACUUGCUUUUAGAGAUGGAUCGAAUUCUACGACCUGAGGGAUGGAUUGUUCUUUCUGAUAAAUUAGGCGCCAUUGAGAUGGCACGGGCACUCGCUACACAGAUAAACUGGGAAGCGAGGGUGAUCGACUUGCAGAAUGGCAGCGACCAGCGGCUACUUGUUU
rnacentral:misc_RNA from 1 species